rnacentral:rRNA from 1 species
UACAGAGGGUGCGAGCGUUAAUCGGAAUUACUGGGCGUAAAGCGUGCGUAGACGGUAGCGUAAGUCAGAUGUGAAAGCCCCGGGCUCAACCUGGGAACUGCAUUUGAGACUGCUCUGCUCGGGUGCGGAAGAGGGAAGCGGAAUUUCCGGUGUAGCGGUGAAAUGCGUAGAUAUCGGAAGGAACACCAGUGGCGAAAGCGGCUUCCUGGUCCGACACCGACGUUCAGGCACGAAAAGCGUGGGGAGCAAACAGG